CCAAGCGUUGUUCGGAUUCACUGGGCGUAAAGGGUGCGUAGGCGGUCGGGUAAGUCUGAUGUGAAAUCUCACAGCUUAACUGUGAAACUGCAUUGGAUACUAUUCGGCUUGAGAGUUGGAGGGGGGACUGGAAUUCUUGGUGUAGCAGUGAAAUGCGUAGAUAUCAAGAGGAACACCAGUGGCGAAGGCGAGUCCCUGGACAGCUUCUGACGCUGAGGCACGAAAGCUAGGGGAGCAAACAGG
rnacentral:rRNA from 1 species